GCUGUUAAUUUGAAGAACUCCGUGCAGGCAGUUUAUCAUCGUUCAUGCUACAAAACUUACACAAGUAAACAUAUGUGUUCCCCCUUUUAGUGCGAGGAAGCUUCUAGUCUAAUAUUUAAUGAUGACAUACAAUUAUCUGACUGUUGUCCCUCAGUUUCGGGUAUUUGUACACGUUCUACAUGUUCUAGAAUGCAGUCGUUCAACUGGAGCGCUUGUAUAUUUUGUUGCAACAA
rnacentral:lncRNA from 1 species